AGGUUUGUGAUAAUUAGUGGCAUAGUUAGCACCUGCAGACCGCCUUUCUCAUUAGUCUGUACUCUGAUGCAGCUCUGGUUGGUACAGCUUCUGCCAGAAAACAAAAGCCUCACAUCACUUGGUUCUUUCAGGUGCUCAGGGCUCCCACGUGAGCAAUGGCUUACAGUGAAUGCUUGGCUUAACAUCAGGCAGAAAUAAUGAGGGGAUGCAGGGUAACAGUAAUAAUGUGAAGGUACUUUCCACAGGCUGAGAUGUGGAGCUCAUAGAUCUGGAGAGCUUCUAAAGUGGAUUUGUCUACUGAUGGAGACACAAUAGCAAACCAGUGUAUGCCAUUGAUGGCUACCAAACCACACAGGCUGAGGUUUGAACCUCUGUUCCCAUUGCAGCGCAGGAAAACGAAUUUGAAAGAGUCAUUGGCUUAGCAGAAAGCUUCUAAGGAUGUGGGAGACUUCCGAGUCCUGCUCCCAAAGGAAACUUCUUUUUAUGGCUCUUCACUUUUUUCUGUGAGUACCCACACUAUUCCUUCAGUGCUAAGUGAGUUUUAUUUCCCUAAAAAGGACAACCCAGGACUUAGACUUGUGCUAAUUUCUCUCAAGGCUUCUUCUCUCCCAUGCUCCUUGAGUUAGCAGAGGAAAGGUUCUCAUAGAAACAAGGAAACAUUUCUCCACUGAAAGGUUGUCAAGUGUUGUAACAGGCUGCCAAAGGAAGCAGUGGGAUCACCAUCACUGGAUAUCUUAAAUGACAUAUAGAUGCAGUGCUUACUUUGGGAAAUGAGUUAGUGGUAGACCUGACAGUGCUAGGUUUAUGGUUGGACUCUUAAAGGUCUAUUCUAACCUAAAUACUUCUGUAUGUGUAAGAGCCACAAGGAUCUCACAUAAUAAACACUUUUUAAGUGAA